UCCAGACUCCUACGGGAGGCAGCAGUGAGGAAUAUUGGUCAAUGGGCGGAAACCUGAACCAGCCAAGUCGCGUGAGGGAAUAAGGCCCUACGGGUCGUAAACCUCCUUUGCCGGGGAGCAAGGGCCGGGACGAGUCCCGGUCCGGAGAGUACCCGGAGAAAAAGCAUCGGCUAACUCCGUGCCAGCAGCCGCGGUAAUACGGAGGAUGCGAGCGUUAUCCGGAUUUAUUGGGUUUAAAGGGUGCGUAGGCGGGCUUGUAAGUCAGCGGUAAAAAUUCGGGGCUCAACCCCGUCCGGCCGUUGAAACUGGGGGCCUUGAGUGGGCGAGAAGUGCGCGGAAUGCGUGGUGUAGCGGUGAAAUGCAUAGAUAUCACGCAGAACUCCGAUUGCGAAGGCAGCGCACCGGCGCCCUACUGACGCUCAGGCACGAAAGCGUGGGUAUCGAACAGGAUUAGAUACCCUUGUA
rnacentral:rRNA from 1 species